rnacentral:miRNA from 8 species
UAAUCUCAACUGGUAAAAUUGAG